rnacentral:rRNA from 1 species
GAUGAACGCUAGCGGCAGGCUUAACACAUGCAAGUCGAGGGGCAGCGGGGUGUAGCAAUACAUCGCCGGCGACCGGCGCACGGGUGCGUAACACGUAUGGAACUUGCCCUUUACUGGGGGAUAGCCCGGAGAAAUCCGGAUUAAUACCCCAUAACAAGCGGAGUGGCAUCACUCUGCUUUGAAAGCUCCGGCGGUAAAGGAUGGCCAUGCGCCCGAUUAGCUAGUUGGUGAGGUAACGGCCCACCAAGGCUAUGAUCGGUAGGGGGCCUGAGAGGGUUAUCCCCCACACUGGUACUGAGACACGGACCAGACUCCUACGGGAGGCAGCAGUGAGGAAUAUUGCGCAAUGGAGGCAACUCUGACGCAGCCAUGCCGCGUGCAGGAAGAAGGCGCUACGCGUUGUAAACUGCUUUUAUCCGGGAAGAAACCCCUCCACGUGUGGAGGGUUGACGGUACCGGAGGAAUAAGCACCGGCUAACUUCGUGCCAGCCGCCGCUGUAAGAC